UCUGUGUGUUUGCAUACGUGUCCUGCCUCUCUGCUCCCAGCCGUUAAGAGAUCAGAGUUGAUCGGUGGCUGUCCAGGCCUUUCAGAGACACUGACACGCCGGCAGCACAAUGAUGAUGUCACUGAUUCUACUGCUGGUCACCCUGGGGCUCCUUGUUCAGGAUUCAUCAGGAGAUAUCAUCCUGACUCAGUCUCCUGCAUCUCAGUCUGUUGUUCCAGGUCAGACUGUCUCUAUCAGAUGUAAAGCCAGUUCAAGUGUCAGUACAAACCUUCACUGGUACCUCCAGAAACCUGAUGAACCUCCCAAACUCUUGAUUUAUUAUGCUACUAAUCGUCAGUCUGGAGUUUCAGGUCGUUUUAGUGGAAGUGGAUCUGGGACUGCCUUCACUCUGAGCAUCAGUGGAGUUCAGACUGAAGAUGCAGGAGAUUAUUACUGUCAGCAGGGUAACAGUUGGCCGUUGACUUUUGGUGGAGGAACCAGACUGGAUGUUGGAAGUGAUGUCCGUCCCACCCUGAUGGUGCUGCCCCCCUCCGAAGAAGAGCUGCAGCAGGGGAUGGCCACGCUCAUGUGCCUGGCCAACAAGGGCUUCCCCUCAGACUGGAGUCUGGCCUGGAAGGUGGACGCAACUAACUAA